UCGUGGUGUUGAGGGAGAACUAUCUUUUGA
rnacentral:piRNA from 1 species